AUUGAACGCUGGCGGCGUGCCUAACACAUGCAAGUCGAGCGGUAACAGGUGUAGCAAUACAUGCUGACGAGCGGCGGACGGGUGAGUAACGCUUGGGAAUCUGCCUAUUAGUGGGGGGACAACCCGGGGGAAACUCGGGCUAAUACCGCAUACGCACUACGGUGGAAAGCCGGGGACCGCAAGGCCUGACGCUAACAGAUGAGCCCAAGUCGGAUUAGCUAGUUGGUAGGGUAACGGCCACCAAGGCGACGAUCCGUAACUGGUCUGAGAGGACGACCAGUCACACCGGAACUGAGACACGGUCCGGACUCCUACGGGAGGCAGCAGUGGGGAAUAUUGGACAAUGGGCGAAAGCCUGAUCCAGCGACGCCGCGUGGGUGAAGAAGGCCUGCGGGUUGU
rnacentral:rRNA from 1 species